UCAAUGCCUGCACCAAGCUACUUGAUGGGAUAUUACUUCUCAAAUGAUGCUAAACCCAGUAAUUCAGAGCUAGAGAUUAUAUCCAGCUUUCAAAAGGACAACAGCUUCCCAAAACUUGUACAAGACAUGGGAAUGCGUUUAAUUGACAAAGAACAAAGCGAAGUUACACUUGAUCACUUGGAAGGCUGGUUUGUGGAAAGGUUGGAUGAAAAAAGACAUUCACGACCAGAACACUUUCCAAAAUAUAUCAAUAUACAUCAUGCAGUCCGCUAUCGGCAAGAAGCAGCAUCCAGAUAAAGAUCAAACAAGCCUUUGGACUUAAAGCUAGUGGAUAUUAUGUAAAUAUGUUAGCCAGAGUCCUUAAGGGAGCUGCAAGCAUGCAUUUGCCUGAGUUACCUCAACAAUGGGCAGGAGAAGAAAAAUUUCUAACAAGCCAACUUGAUUUUACAAGUCUACAGAGAUCACCAUGGUGGACUGAUCCAUCUGUGGUGUUACACCCUUAUCUUGAUCAUCAUAGUGUGCUUUUAAUUCAAAUAUUUGGCCUGAAUGCUAUUUAUGUUCCGGAUCCAAGUGGACAGAGACCAGGAAAAGUAAUAUCUCACCCUGGUCAGAUCCUGGAGCUUAAUACACAAUCACGGUUAGGCUGGACUGCUGUUCCACUCUUUGACAGUGACUAUGUGAAGAGUGGUGUGCACAGUGCUCCGUUGUUUCGGGGUUCUCCAAGUGCAGAAUUUCUCCAGUCUGUAAUCUCUCUGCCAGUGAAAGAUGUUAUGUCUGAAGGUAUAAAGAAAAAGACAUUAAAACUUUUGCCAACUUUUGGCAGUGUUACUCUUGAGUUUUGGGAUGGUCAUUACUUUGAAGAGGAGCAUUAUGAGCUACCUGUUCUAAACAACCUUCUAACUGUUGCCAACACAAAGAAAUUUGUGGACACUCAAGCAAACAAGAGAGGCCAGGAGCUGUCACAGCUAGUUCUGCACAGUAUGGAUAAAAAAAUAAGAAAAUUGGGACGACAUAGCCCUGAAUAUUAUCAACAAGAGUAUUUCUAUAAAGAAGCAAUGGGAAACGCUUUUUACAGUCUUGUGAAAAUAACAUCAAGUAUAAACGCUUCGUAGAAUCAUAGAAAUGUAAGACCGGAAGGGCCCUCAAGAACUUAUCAACUCCAGCCCCCUGCUGAGCCAGGACCAAGUAAACCUUGACCAUCCCUGACAGGAAACAGUCCUCUUGAAUGCAGGUUAUGGUCAUCUAUGAGCUUUCCCUUCAAAGGUGAAGAAUAUUGGGUAUCAGAAUGAUCAAAUUCUUGAACUGGAUCAAACAUAUUUUCAAGCUCUACCUAAAACUAAAUAACAAUAUCUUUGGAGAGCAUCAGCCUGGAGCCUUGCUUCCUAUAAUCAUUGAAGGGCUGAAGGUAUCCCCUAACUCCCCCUUCCAGCUUAUUGACUCACUUUGUCAGUAGUUUGUGUGUUAUGAGAAGAUAUCAUUCUUUAGAAUCAGAACAAGGAAAGGAACAUUGUUUGCACUGAGAGAAUCCUAGAGAUGACAGUUCUUUUUUUCUAAAGCAUUCAGUGUGUAAUUGCUGAAGACAUUCCAAGCCAUUCUAAUGAAGUGUACUGUCUGCCAGUCUGUGUGCUCUUCCUAGAGAACCAUCUGUUACACCUCAAAUAUCUAAAGGUCUGCCAUCAUUUAUUGCACCUAACAAAUCAGUUUCUUUGUCUGACAUGCAGUAACUUGUGAAUGUGGCCUCCUAGAAGGUAGUUUGUUACCAUGCAAAGCACAGGAUCUUCUGUAUGUUGUUGCCGUAUAAAAACGUUUUUCAUGACUCAUCAUAGCAAAUUUCUGAUAUCAGACCUACUGAUUAGAUUUUUAAUUUACUUGAUAACAUAUAUAAAUACUAAAAAAUCCUGAAUGAUUUUUUUCUUUACUCAAUCAUUGUUACAUCAUACGCUUUUUCUUUUGGUAAACCAAACCUUUCUUCGUAAUGCUCUGUACGUCUUGUGUAUAAAGGCAACAUGGCCUUAUUGUAAUUUGAUUUACUGUUCCUUUAAUUAGAUUAUUUGUAGCUGAA